rnacentral:rRNA from 1 species
GACGAACGCUGGCGGCGUGCCUAAUACAUGCAAGUUGAGCGCUGAAGGUUGGUACUUGUACCAACUGGAUGAGCAGCGAACGGGUGAGUAACGCGUGGGGAAUCUGCCUUUGAGCGGGGGACAACAUUUGGAAACGAAUGCUAAUACCGCAUAAAAACUUUAAACACAAUUUUUAAGUUUGAAAGAUGCAAUUGCAUCACUCAAAGAUGAUCCCGCGUUGUAUUAGCUAGUUGGUGAGGUAAAGGCUCACCAAGGCGAUGAUACAUAGCCGACCUGAGAGGGUGAUCGGCCGCAUUGGGACUGAGACACGGCCCAAACUCCUACGGGAGGCAGCAGUAGGGAAUCUUCGGCAAUGGACGAAAGUCUGACCGAGCAACGCCGCGUGAGUGAAGAAGGUUUUCGGAUCGUAAAACUCUGUUGGUAGAGAAGAACGUUGGUGAGAGUGGAAAGCUCAUCAAGUGACGGUAACUACCCAGAAAGGGACGGCUAACUACGUG